GGGGUAAAGGCUCACCAAGGCAACGAUCAGUAGCGGGUCUGAGAGGAUGAUCCGCCACACUGGGACUGAGACACGGCCCAGACUCCUACGGGAGGCAGCAGUGGGGAAUUUUGGACAAUGGGCGCAAGCCUGAUCCAGCCAUGCCGCGUGUCUGAAGAAGGCCUUCGGGUUGUAAAGGACUUUUGUCCGGGAGCAAAUCCCAGUGGUUAAUACCUACUGGGGCUGAGAGUACCGGAAGAAUAAGCACCGGCUAACUACGUGCCAGCAGCCGCGGUAAUACGUAGGGUGCAAGCGUUAAUCGGAAUUACUGGGCGUAAAGCGUGCGCAGGCGGUUGUGCAAGUCUGAUGUGAAAGCCCCGGGCUUAACCUGGGAACGGCAUUGGAGACUGCACGACUAGAGUGCGUCAGAGGGGGGUAGAAUUCCGCGUGUAGCAGUGAAAUGCGUAGAGAUGCGGAGGAAUACCGAUGGCGAAGGCAGCCCCCUGGGAUGACACUGACGCUCAUGCACGAAAGCGUGGGGAGCAAACAGGAUUAG
rnacentral:rRNA from 1 species